rnacentral:tRNA from 1 species
ACUGUUUUGGCAGAUGAUAUGCGUUGGAUUUAGGAUCCUAUAAAAUAGAUUUAUUCUAUAAAUAGUU